GAAUUUAUGAAUGAAUAUAGAUCUUUUUUAGCUGAAUUUUGUUGGGUGACCUUAUGUUCUAAAACAAGUUUCUGAACUGUUAUUAUUCCAGAUUCACCUAAGUUUCAUCUACGUUCUAAAACAUAUUAAUACUGUGAUUAUCAACAAGUUUAAAAAAUUGAUUGAAAAAUACUUACAGAAAUCUGUGGCUUCUGCAGUAGAGGUUGGUUCAGAUAAUCUCAAACUAGGAUUGGUAUUGUAUCUCAAACUAGAAUUGGUAUUGUAUCAAACUAGGAUUGGUAAUACCGCUUCAUUCAAGGCUUUCCAAAAACUUUUCUGACUUUAUGAGUUCAAAAGAUGAAGUACUCCUUUUACAAAAAUCAACAGUUUGAACUUAUAAUAAAGCAAUGCAUAUCAAAAAAAAAGUUAUUUGAGGAUCCUGAAUUUCCUGCUUCAGAUACGUCGCUCUUCUUUUCAAAACAUCAUACGUUUACGGCAGUUUGGAAAAGACCUGGAGAAAUUUGCGAUGACCCACAAAUGUUUGUUGAUGGUGCAAGUAGUGCUGACGUUACCCAGGGUAGAGUUGGGAACUGUUGGUUUGUUGCAGCUGCUGCAUCACUGGCUCUUGAAAAAGAUCUUUAUAC
rnacentral:lncRNA from 1 species